GAUGAACGCUGGCGGCGUGCCUAAUACAUGCAAGUCGAGCGGACGGACGCUAAGCUUGCUUCUCUGAUGUUAGCGGCGGACGGGUGAGUAACACGUGGAUCACCUACCUAUAAGACUGGUAUAACUUCGGGAAACCGUAGCUAAUACCGGAUAAUAUUUUGAACCGCAUGGUUCAAAAGUGAGAGACGGUCUUGCUGUCUCUUAUAGAUGGAUCCCCGCUGCAUUAGCUGGUUGGUAAGGUAACGGGUUACCAAGGCAACGAUGCAUAGCCGACCGGAGGGAGUGAUCGGCCACCCUGGAACUGAGACAGGGUCCAGACGCCUACGGGAGGCAGCAGAAGGCAAUCUGACGCAGUGGGCGAGAGCCUGACGGAGCAACGCCGCGCGAGUGAUGAAGGUCUUCGGAGCGUAAAACUCUGUUAUGAGGGAAGAACAUAUGUGUAAGUAACUGUGCACAUAUUGACGGUACCUAAUCAGAAAGCCACGGCUAACUACGUG
rnacentral:rRNA from 1 species